GACGAACGCUGGCGGCGUGCUUAACACAUGCAAGUCGAACGAUGAACCCGGAGCUUGCUCCGGCGGAUUAGUGGCGAACGGGUGAGUAACACGUGAGUAACCUGCCCUUGACUCUGGGAUAACUGCUAGAAAUGGUAGCUAAUACCGGAUACGACCCUCGGUGGCAUCACCAGGGGGUGGAAAGAAUUUCGGUCAAGGAUGGACCCGCGGCCUAUCAGCUAGUUGGUGAGGUAACGGCUCACCAAGGCGACGACGGGUAGCCGGCCUGAGAGGGUGACCGGCCACACUGGGACUGAGACACGGCCCAGACUCCUACGGGAGGCAGCAGUGGGGAAUAGUGCACAAUGGGCGAAAGCCUGAUGCAGCAACGCCGCGUGAGGGAUGAAGGCCUUCGGGUUGUAAACCUCUUUUAGCAGGGAAGAAGCGAAAGUGACGGUACCUGCAGAAAAAGCACCGGCUAACUACUUGCCAGCCGCCGCCGUAA
rnacentral:rRNA from 1 species